AGUGAGCGCUGGCGGUAGGCCUAACACAUGCAAGUCGAACGGCAGCACAGUAAGAGCUUGCUCUUACGGGUGGCGAGUGGCGGACGGGUGAGGAAUACAUCGGAAUCUACUUUUUCGUGGGGGAUAACGUAGGGAAACUUACGCUAAUACCGCAUACGACCUACGGGUGAAAGCAGGGGAUCCUCGGACCUUGCGCGAUUGAAUGAGCCGAUGUCGGAUUAGCUAGUUGGCGGGGUAAAGGCCCACCAAGGCGACGAUCCGUAGCUGGUCUGAGAGGAUGAUCAGCCACACUGGAACUGAGGCACGGUCCAGACUCCUACGGGAGGCAGCAGUGGGGAAUAUUGGACAAUGGGCGCAAGCCUGAUCCAGCCAUACCGCGUGGGUGAAGAAGGCCUUCGGGUUGUAAAGCCCUUUUGUUGGGAAAGAAAAGCAGCAGGUUAAUACCCCGCUGUUCUGACGGUACCCAAAGAAUAAGCACCGGCUAACUUCGUG
rnacentral:rRNA from 1 species